rnacentral:lncRNA from 1 species
GCGGGCACUUUAGACCCACAUCGCAGCUGCAGCCUGUAGGACACUUCUGCCUCCUCGUAGAGACGUUAGGUGAGUCCAGAGGCUGCUGUUCCUUUUCAUUAGAAGCUGGUCUUUCUUCUCCUGCAAAAAGGAGAAACCAUUAAUGUAAAUCUGUUCCUCUAACUCUUUGUAUAAAGUGGAACUCCUCGGUUUAGAAAGGCGCAGAGUAUACUCUUGCAUUAUUCUUUCAUUUGUCUAAAGGAAACACUGAAUUAAAAUUCUCAGCUUUGGUAUAAUUAACAUCUCCUUUACCACAUUUUCCCCUGCGCUCCUGCCCCACAGAUCCAGCUGUUUGAGUUCUUUGAGAAAGCAGCAGCUCAGGAGUUCAUCUUUGACCAUAUAAACUGUGGUCCAAGAAGAUUUAGACAGCACGGCAACUCCUCUGUUAGACAUCAGUUUUGGAAACAUCACCUGCACACAGGUAAGAUUAGCUUAAUUUCUCAGGUUUUCCUUUUUUGUUAUUCCUACGUUUGACUUAGGAAAAAAAUCUUACUUGUUAAGCUGACGGAAAAAAAAAGCAUAAGGCCAUAGAAAAACACUUUGCAAAUUUUAAUC